AUUGAACGCUGGCGGAAUGCUUUACACAUGCAAGUCGAACGGCAGCACGGGGCAACCUGGUGGCGAGUGGCGAACGGGUGAGUAAUACAUCGGAACGUGCCCAAUCGUGGGGAUAACGUAGCGAAAGUUACGCUAAUACCGCAUACGAUCUACGGAUGAAAGCGGGGGAUCGCAAGACCUCGCGCGAGUGGAGCGGCCGAUGUCAGAUUAGGUAGUUGGUGGGGUAAAGGCUCACCAAGCCAACGAUCUGUAGCUGGUCUGAGAGGACGACCAGCCACACUGGAACUGAGACACGGUCCAGACUCCUACGGGAGGCAGCAGUGGGGAAUUUUGGACAAUGGGCGCAAGCCUGAUCCAGCCAUUCCGCGUGCAGGAUGAAGGCCUUCGGUUGUAAACUGCUUUUGUACGGUAACGAAACGG
rnacentral:rRNA from 1 species